rnacentral:rRNA from 1 species
UAAUACGGAGGGGGCAAGCGUUGUUCGGAAUCACUGGGCGUAAAGGGUCCGUAGGCGGCCCCAUAAGUCGGAGGUGAAAGCCCUAGGCUCAACCUAGGAAUUGCCUUCGAAACUGUAGGGCUAGAGUCCGGUAGAGGGAGACGGAAUUCCCGGUGUAGCGAUGAAAUGCGUAGAUAUCGGGAGGAACACCUGUGGCGAAGGCGGUCUCCUGGGCCGGUACUGACGCUGAGGGACGAAAGCGUGGGGAGCAAACAGGAUUAGAUACCCUGGUAGUCCACGCCCUAAACGAUGGGCACUUGGUGUGGCGGUCGUUCAGGCUGCCGUGCCGUAGCUAACGUGAUAAGUGCCCCGCCUGGGGAGUACGGUCGCAAGGCUG